UACGUAGGGCGCAAGCGUUGUCCGGAAUUAUUGGGCGUAAAGAGCUCGUAGGCGGCUUGUCACGUCGGGUGUGAAAGCCCGGGGCUUAACCCCGGGUCUGCAUUCGAUACGGGCUAGCUAGAGUGUGGUAGGGGAGAUCGGAAUUCCUGGUGUAGCGGUGAAAUGCGCAGAUAUCAGGAGGAACACCGGUGGCGAAGGCGGAUUUCUGGGCCAUUACUGACGCUGAGGAGCGAAAGCGUGGGGAGCGAACAGG
rnacentral:rRNA from 1 species